rnacentral:lncRNA from 1 species
CCGCAGCGGCCUCAGGGGAAGAGGGUGGCGGGAGAAGAGGAGGGCUGUCUUAGGCGAGUUCUCCGUCGACAAC